UGUUAAUGAUGUUUAAUGCAUCUUUGUUUGGUGUUUCUGGAGUUAAUUCAGGCUAUAAAAGAUAAAAGAUUGCAGAGCAGCUCAUAAACACCAUCAUCUCCUGAUGAGCAGCGUCUUCAGUCUUCAGGCUGAGUCCCGUGUGUGCAGUGAAUGAAGAGCUCUUUAAACACGGCAGUGGAAACUUGUGAAACAUCUGUCAGUCUGUGUGUUAUUCCACACACUUCUGCUUUGACCUGCAGACCAAACACACAAUCCUGUCAGUAACUGCCUGUCAAGAUUCCAUGAAACAAUGGCAAAACUAAACGCCAGCAUCAACGGAUCAAGUGGAGGAGAUUAUGAAGAUGAAUGGAGUCA